GAUGAACGCUGGCGGCGUGCCUAAUACAUGCAAGUCGAGCGAACGGACGAGAAGCUUGCUUUUCUGAUGUUAGCGGCGGACGGGUGAGUAACACGUGGAUAACCUACCUAUAAGACUGGGAUAACUUCGGGAAACCGGAGCUAAUACCGGAUAAUAUUUUGAACCGCAUGGUUCAAAAGUGAAAGACGGUCUUGCUGUCACUUAUAGAUGGAUCCGCGCUGCAUUAGCUAGUUGGUAAGGUAACGGCUUACCAAGGCAACGAUGCAUAGCCGACCUGAGAGGGUGAUCGGCCACACUGGAACUGAGACACGGUCCAGACUCCUACGGGAGGCAGCAGUAGGGAAUCUUCCGCAAUGGGCGAAAGCCUGACGGAGCAACGCCGCGUGAGUGAUGAAGGUCUUCGGAUCGUAAAACUCUGUUAGUAGGGAAGAACAGAUGUGUAAGAAACUGUGCACAUCUUGACGGUACCUAAUCAGAAAGCCACGGCUAACUACGUG
rnacentral:rRNA from 1 species